CCUACGGGUGGCAGCAGUGGGGGAUAUUGCACAAUGGGGGAAACCCUGAUGCAGCGACGCCGCGUGGGUGAAGAAGUAUUUCGGUAUGUAAAGCCCUAUCAGCAGGGAAGAAAGAAGACGGUACCUGACUAAGAAGCCCCGGCUAACUACGUGCCAGCAGCCGCGGUAAUACGUAGGGGGCGAGCGUUAUCCGGAUUCACUGGGUGUAAAGGGAGCGUAGACGGCCGUGCAAGCCAGGAGUGAAAGCCCGGGGCGCAACCCCGGGACUGCUCUUGGAACUGUGCGGCUAGAGUGCGGGAGGGGCAAGCGGAAUUCCUAGUGUAGCGGUGAAAUGCGUAGAUAUUAGGAAGAACACCAGUGGCGAAGGCGGCUUGCUGGACAGUAACUGACGUUGAGGCUCGAAAGCGUGGGGAGCAAACAGGAUUAGAUACCCGUGUAGUC
rnacentral:rRNA from 1 species